rnacentral:lncRNA from 1 species
AAAAUGAGAAUGGCUGAGCAGAUGGGCUUAGCACAGCUGGAUGUGUGAGGCUGAAGCUCUGCCCAUGUGGUUAGGGAGGCAGCACUGUUGGGAGAGGGCACACCUGCUUACUCUCUAAGCAGCAAACUAUUAUUAACUGUAGCUUUUAGUUUUUGCUAUUUUGGCUGUUGUAGCAUCCCCUCAUCUUUGAAUAAUCACUGUAUAACCAGCUUUUAGGACCUCAAUUGUAUCAUAACUCUAUGUGUUUCUCUCUGCAUAAUAGUGUUCACUUAACAUUUUGUUCUCGCUCUUAGCCAUAUAAAAUCUAUAAUCAUUUCAAUGAUUUAUUAUUUAAGUCAAUUUUUCUGUAGAAAAGCAUAAACCAGUGUGCAUACUCCUCAGUUCUAAGCUUUGACUAGAGCUUACGUCAUCUUUAAAUUUUGACCGCAUUAUUCAUUUUUAAGACUUCCCAUGGUCCUUUCAGCAAAAUCUUGCUGGCAUAUGCAAUACUGUCUGCGUUUGGUGGAUGAUUAUGGGACGCUGAUAUAGCUGUCUCUUGUGAGGCUAUGCCAGUGCCUGGCAAAUACAGAAGUGGAUGCUCACAGUCAUCUAUAGGAUGGAACACAUGGCCCCCAAUGGAGGAGUUAGAGAAAGUACCCAAGGAGCUGAAGGGGUCUGCAAUCGGAUAAGUGAAACAACAAUAUUAACUAAUCAGUACCCCCAGAGCUGAUGUCUCUAGCUGCAUAUGCAGCAGAAGAUGGCCAAGUCGGCCAUCAUUGGGAAGAGAGGCCUCUUGUUCUUGCAAACUUUAUAUGCCCCAGUACAGGGGGACACCAGGACCAAGAAGUGGCAGUGAGUGGCAGGGCGGUGGAGGGGGGGGAGGGUAUAGGGGACUUUUGGGAUAGCAUUUGAAAUGUAAAUGAAGAAAAUAUCUAAUAAAAAAUAAUGAGCAGCCCCAUCCCCAAAAAAAAAAAAAAGGACUUCCUUGGAUCCUGUUUAGGGCUUUUUAUUUUUAUUGAAAUACCAAAGACAAUCAUUAGUUUGCAUUUUGUCAUGUGGGGACAUUUUGCUUGUGAGGCUGCAGUAGCAAAGUACUAUGAGCUAAGAAAACAGAGAUGUGUCCUGUCUCCUAAGAACUAGAGCUGGUGGAGGACCCCCAAGGCUGAGUGUGUUUCCUGCUGUGGGCUUUCCCUUCUGAUGAGCCAAGCUUUGAAGAUGCAACACUUGUGUUCUUUACCCCUCCCUCUACCUGGUUAGCCUCCCUCAGCUAUCUUCCUAAGGACUCACAUCAUCUUCCCUAAGGUGUAAAAAGAGAGCUCAUUGGCUGUAUAGGUGAUACACAUUCAUGAUUAAAUGCUGCAGGUAAAAAUGUCAUUAUUUUAUGUUGAGGGCGUUUGAUUUGCUUUGUUACUCCUUUCUCUGCAAAUCAGUAAUGAUGUGAAAGGCUUUACCAGUGUUUCUGGCCAUCUUGAACACAGAUUUCUCUACUGAUUUUUCCACGUUGAAAUAUUAGGUGCCUAUACUAAACUUAGGUGGUUAACGGAGUGAUACACUUCUAGUAUGAAGAUAUAUAGCUUUGAAAGGAAAGUUUUCACUAAUGUUCUUUUCGGGUUAUUGUUCAAAUGAAGCGAGAUGCACACACACACACACACACACACACACACACAUAUAUAUAUAUAUAUAUAUUUCUUUUGAUGAACUCAACAUUUUGUGGUUAGGCUGGUUAAUCAUGCAGUCAUUGUUGAGUUCUUCCUUUCAUACCUUUGCUUUACAGAGGAGGCUGUAAAUAAUAUUCCCAGUACAAUUGAGAAAUUAUAUCCCUGCCACGAUUUCAAAGACAUCGAUUUCUUAACAGAAACCUGACUUCAAUUUAGGAUUUAGUUUUUCAAUGAUUAAUGGACUGGUUUAAGGAUAAUCUGGGAAAUAAAGAUUGAGCACCUCUUUUCCCUAACACUCUGCCGUAUUUCUCUGCUCUUGUAUUUUGUUGUUCUUUUGGACAACUCUCCAGGAUUUAUUUUCACAGAAUUGUCUGUCCUUGGUGCACCCCUUUAAAGGUAUGAUCACUCAUCGGUCAGCAGUUUAUCUUGAUUCCAUAGAAUGAUGAAAAUCCAUCCUAUAGAGAUGUUACAGUUUCAUAAGUGAGAAUGUUUUUAUCCCAUUCUCCAAAAAGUUUGCCUUUGUUGUACUCAGCAACUGAGAGCACCAAAGUUAGUUACAUCUCUAUGAAACCUCAUAUUUUAAAAAGUACUGUUGGGGCACUAACAGGUAAAAUGGAAUAAACAGUAAGGUCAUUACACACGUGAUGGCUUGUCUUCAUGUAUGUUCUUAGUAGACUGUGAAGAUAGUCAACUACUCUGAAGUAUGUUUCCCAUUUUGUAUAAGCAGAAUUUGAAAAGUAAAAUCAAGAUGCAAGUACAAGAGCACUUGUCAAGUCAUGCCUGUGCUUCAUGCUGUUAAUACCAGCACCUAGUAUAGCAGAAUGGAGCUAUUGUAAGCACAGGACAAACAUAUAAACAAACCAAACACAAUAAAUAAAAAUCCC